AUGACCUACGAAUUGAUAGACAAUUUGGCUAAGUUUGUCUGUCAUUUUUGUAGGCCAAUA
rnacentral:pre_miRNA from 1 species